GGAUACUCUAUUGAACCCUCUUUGCC
rnacentral:piRNA from 1 species